UUUGCCCCUCGAGGCGUUGCAGUGCGACUGACUGUGUCGCUUCUGUGUCGUAAGGUGGCAUAGAGUAAAGGAUUAUGUCUGUACCCCUUACAUGAAAUAAUGGGUGCGAAGUGUCACUUAUAGUCCUACAAA